UCUCUCUCUUUCCUCUCUCCUUCUCACCCCACUCAUGCGCACGUUCAGCCCAUCAGCAGACUACUCCUUUCUCUUCUUCUCCUUCAUCUCUUCUUCUAUUUCUCACGCCACCUACAGCCGCAACCUCCAUUUCCUCUUCCACCUUUGCUGUAGUCGAAACCCCCCGUCAUCUCCACCACAUCACCACUAUCAACCUACCAUUCCACCAUCAUCAUCUCCCCAUCCCACAUCGUCCCCAGCACCCUCCAUUUGCCCUCACCACAGCCAGUGACCCAACCCCAACGCCACUUUCUAGUGCCAACUUCACCAUAGCCAACACCACCUUGCAGCCAUCUUCGCCUCACACCACCAGCCCGCAGCCAGCAACCACAGCCACCACCUUAUCGUUAGCCACCCGCCUUGCGUCCAGCGCCACCACUAGCAACUGACCAGCAACCAAGCCAAGCAGAACCGUGCCCCUAGCCGUGAGCUUGUUAGGCCGUUUCCUUGCCGAUCCAAGCUUCCGUUGGAGACACGGUAGUCUCGGGUUGUCACCACCAUCGUGCCACCAUCGCCGUGAACCCACUGUCGUCCUAAU
rnacentral:lncRNA from 1 species